rnacentral:lncRNA from 1 species
UGAACGGUAUAAGUCAGCCGUAACGUUCUUAUAAGUCAGCCGUAUCGUAUAUAUUUAGUGAAAUUAAGUAUUUUAUUAGAUGGCUAGAGGAUAAUUGAUUAUAGGAAAUUGAAUAUAAGUAACAAUACAUGUGUACCCAACACUAAAUUUAAUUAAUUAUAAACUCAAAACAUUAAUUUUAUAUUCUAAAACUAACCCCUAACACUAUAUUCAAACCCUAAACUCUAAACCUAAACUCUAUAUCCAGGUCACAAUUUUGAUAUUAAUCUAAAAUUUUCAAACUUAAACACCAGUUCUUAAAAUAAAUAUGACUUUAUUAAGUUUAAAAAAUAAAACUUUAAACUUAAAUUAUAAACUACAAAAUAUAAAUUUUGGAAUAAGAUAUAACUAAAAAACAUUACGUACAAAACAAAUUAUCAAAUAUGGAAUGCCAAAACAAAAAUAGAAAAAGGAAGAAAUUUUUUUCUGGCCAAUCAGAUUCUGAUACAAAGAUCAAACUAAGAUUUUGGAUUAACUUAGAUAUAAAGGUUGAGAUUUAUUCAUUUUAUCUCUCUCUCUCUCUCUCUCUCUCUCUCUCUCUUUUCUCUUUUUCUUUUCUGUAUUUAUCUCUCAUCUCUGCCAUCUCUGUCCACACUUACUGAUUUUCAGUCAUGUCUUCCAUCACUCUCC